rnacentral:rRNA from 1 species
UGAGGAAUAUUGGGUCAAUGGGCGGAAGCCUGAACCAGCCAAGUAGCGUGCAGGACGACGGCCCUAUGGGUUGUAAACUGCUUUUAUGCGGGGAUAAAGUGGGCCACGCGUGGCCUUUUGCAGGUACCGCAUGAAUAAGGACCGGCUAAUUCCGUGCCAGCAGCCGCGGUAAUACGGAAGGUCCGGGCGUUAUCCGGAUUUAUUGGGUUUAAAGGGAGCGUAGGCCGGAGAUUAAGCGUGUUGUGAAAUGCCGCGGCUCAACCGUGGCACUGCAGCGCGAACUGGUUUUCUUGAGUGCGCGCGACGCAGGCGGAAUUCGUGGUGUAGCGGUGAAAUGCUUAGAUAUCACGAGGAACCCCGAUUGCGAAGGCAGCUUGCGGGAGCGCAACUGACGCUGAAGCUCGAAGGUGCGGGUAUCGAACAGGAUUAGAUACCCUGGUAGU